rnacentral:lncRNA from 1 species
CUGUAUUAUCUUUUUUUAGUUUAUUUUAUUAUUUCAAAAAUACACUAGGAAAAGUAAUUCAAUGCAUUUCAAAGAGAGAAACCGAGCCUUGGAAAGGGACAAGAUUCACCCAAGCUCACACAACUAGUUAAAGCCAACACUGCAAGCAGCCUUACCUAUUUUGACUUCUAUUCCUUGCUCCUUUCCUGUAUAUCAAGAUAAGAGAUUUACUUUCCUGUGCUCUGUUCAGUUAGUAGCAGCUGCCUUGGAUACUGUCUUCUAGAAGAUUCUUAGGCCCUCCAGCCAAGUGAGAAGAAAUUGGCUAGCUACACCUGGUCACACAGGAGCGAACAGGAACCUCCAUUUUGCCAACCUUGAUCUAUCACGCUCAUGGUAAGGA